UCCGUGGUGGCUCAGGCAGUAAAGAAUCUGCCUGAAAAGCAGGAGACCCAGGUUUGAGCCCUGGUUCAGGAA
rnacentral:tRNA from 1 species